GAUGAACGCUGGCGGCGUGCCUAAUACAUGCAAGUCGAGCGAACGGACGAGAAGCUUGCUUCUCUGAUGUUAGCGGCGGACGGGUGAGUAACACGUGGAUAACCUACCUAUAAGACUGGGAUAACUUCGGGAAACCGGAGCUAAUACCGGAUAAUAUUUUGAACCGCAUGGUUCAAAAGUGAAAGACGGUCUUGCUGUCACUUAUAGGUGGAUCCGCGCUGCAUUAGCUAGUUGGUAAGGUAACGGCUUACCAAGGCAACGAUGCAUAGCCGACCUGAGAGGGUGAUCGGCCACACUGGAACUGGGACACGGUCCAGACUCCUACGGGAGGCAGCAGUAGGGAAUCUUCCGCAAUGGGCGAAAGCCUGACGGAGCAACGCCGAGUGAGUGAUGAAGGUCUUCGGAUCGUAAAACUCUGUUAUUAGGGAAGAACAUAUGUGUAAGUAACUGUGCACAUCUUGACGGUACCUAAUCAGAAAGCCACGGCUAACUACGUG
rnacentral:rRNA from 1 species